rnacentral:rRNA from 1 species
AUUGAACGCUGGCGGCAGGCCUAACACAUGCAAGUCGAGCGGAUGAGUGGAGCUUGCUCCAUGAUUCAGCGGCGGACGGGUGAGUAAUGCCUAGGAAUCUGCCUGGUAGUGGGGGACAACGUUUCGAAAGGAACGCUAAUACCGCAUACGUCCUACGGGAGAAAGCAGGGGACCUUCGGGCCUUGCGCUAUCAGAUGAGCCUAGGUCGGAUUAGCUAGUUGUGGAGGUAAAGGCUCACCAAGGCGACGAUCCGUAACUGGUCUGAGAGGAUGAUCAGUCACACUGGAACUGAGACACGGUCCAGACUCCUACGGGAGGCAGCAGUGGGGAAUAUUGGACAAUGGGCGAAAGCCUGAUCCAGCCAUGCCGCGUGUGUGAAGAAGGUCUUCGGAUUGUAAAGCACUUUAAGUUGGGAGGAAGGGCAGUAAGUUAAUACCUUGCUGUUUUGACGUUACCGACAGAAUAAGCACCGGCUAACUUCGUGCCAGCAGCCGCCGUAACAC